rnacentral:lncRNA from 10 species
CAAAUGUUUACUUAGCAUGCAAUUAUGAGCUUAAGGUGUCAGGAAGGCUACCACCCAGAAUAAGCUAAGACUUGAAAAGGAUACAAAACUCAAUAUUAGGAAAAUGUGAAGGGAAAUUACAAUGGGGGUUUUAAGUUUUAUUUGAGCAAGAAGAACAAGGAAGCAAUUUGCCUACUGCCUGGAGCAAGUGAGGUAAUGUUGACAGAUAUCAGACAGAAAGCAGAUCAUCCCCAGUUCAGUAUUUUCUGUAGAGAAGGCUGUUCAGAGAGAGAAAGUCAAAUGAAAGAAGAACAUCUUGAAUUUAUACAAUGACUGGGAGAAGGCUUAAUGUGUUCUUAGAAUUGUAACUCCUAUUUGGAGAGAUUGCAAAAAGGAGCACCAGGGACAGAACCCUUGGAAGGGCCACAGGGGAUGGCAAAUGGCUCUCUCAGUUAGCUGGCUGAGCAUGUGAGCAGUCCGUACGACCAAGAUCAUUGUUGUCUCCAGCAGUGGAGAGCACCAGUUGCAGGAAUUUCAUCAGGGGCAUACAAGUCGUGGAUUUGACUGGGACAAUUUCUUGUACAUUUCCAUUGUUUUUAACAAGAGGAGGAAGCUGUGCUGUGAAGGAUCCUUUUUCAUCAUGAUUAUUGCAUCCACAGAAGCAGUGAUAAAUUCUAACAGAUAAUGCAACUCAGUCUACUUGGAUGUUCACACCUGAGACUGGAGAAGACCUGCUGCCUUCUGCAGAGCCAAACAUUCCUCACAUGCUCCUCCACAAUGCUAGUUAAUGCAGCAAGAAUAGUCUUAUAUAGACUAUAAACUCCUGGUACACUGUGUCUACAUUGCUCACUGCAGUAUCCCAACAUCUAAGACCAUGGUCUUAGAUGUCUGGUACAGGACUGGUGCUCAGUAUGCAUUGAAUGAAUAAAUGAAUGAAUAUAGCAAAGCAUUCCAUGAUGUUCUCUUGAAUUCAUUUAUUCUUUGGAAUUUGGUUAUUUUUUUUUGUUUUUUUGGUGCAGUGGUUAUGUACUACUAGGGGUAUGAUAUGGGUUCUUCAAUAAAUCUCUUCAAAUUAUAAUAAAGAUUUAGCGCUAACCUUCUGCUCACUAUCUCCCUCUAAGUACUACAGAUGGAUGUGAUUAGCAUGCAAUUUAUCAUCUUGAUGGAAUUCAUGUCUUACAGGCCUAUGGCUUUCAAAAUUGAAGUAUCUAGAUUUAUGUUAUUUUGUCAAAUAGGAAAUGGUUUUACUCUAUUGAGAUUCCUACACUUAAAAAUUUAUAUAGACCUUAAAAAAAUCCUAAAGAAGAGUUUGAAAAGUAUGGUUAGGCAUUCUUCUAGCCAUAUAGACUAUAGAGGAGAAUAAGUUUAAGGAAAUCAUCAAGUAAAGUCAAGAACAUAGUAAAAAUGGUAACAUACCACCUUCAUGUAAGAUAAAACCAGAUAAGAUUUUAAAAAGAAGCAUUUAUGCUAUGCUUAGGAAGCCAAUCCUGUUGAAAAAACUGAUAUUGCAGCCAUAUCUGUCUGUGAGUAGUUGUAACAAUGCUGUAGGUAACAUUUCUGAGAGCAUGAUACAGUGUAGGGGGAAUCGAUCUGUGGUCUUGGGGUCCUUGGGGAAAAGGGUAUAUGAAGAGUUCUUCCAAAGUGGCCUCUAAAUCCACCUGUGUAGUAAACAGUGUCUG